CCGGAUGCACGACCAUCUGUCACCUAUUCGAACAUGCGUCACUGGCAACGGUGGGGUGUGAAGCUUCGAAGACAAUGUACCCCCAUGUUCGUAUGCGGCGUUUUGUUCAUGCGAGUGAGCAAGGCGGAGACUGCCAGCAGAAAGGCGGUUGAGGGG
rnacentral:ncRNA from 1 species